CCUGUAUACUUAUCUGGAUAGUACUCACAUUACAUGCUUUGAACACUAACACAGGUCUUCUCUUCGUUAACUUUGCAUACCAGUGAUGUAAUCUUCUAACCUCAUCUUAUGGACACACUUAAUGGCCUCACACAGUCAUUCCCUUCCUUUAACCUUGUUAUGGGCCUCUGGCGCAGAUUAAACUUUGAACUCGUAAGCUGUUUGUUGAG